rnacentral:rRNA from 1 species
AUUGAACGCUGGCGGCAGGCCUAACACAUGCAAGUCGAGCGGAUGAGUGGAGCUUGCUCCAUGAUUCAGCGGCGGACGGGUGAGUAAUGCCUAGGAAUCUGCCUGGUAGUGGGGGACAACGUUUCGAAAGGAACGCUAAUACCGCAUACGUCCUACGGGAGAAAGCAGGGGACCUUCGGGCCUUGCGCUAUCAGAUGAGCCUAGGUCGGAUUAGCUAGUAGGUGAGGUAAUGGCUCACCUAGGCGACGAUCCGUAACUGGUCUGAGAGGAUGAUCAGUCACACUGGAACUGAGACACGGUCCAGACUCCUACGGGAGGCAGCAGUGGGGAAUAUUGGACAAUGGGCGAAAGCCUGAUCCAGCCAUGCCGCGUGUGUGAAGAAGGUCUUCGGAUUGUAAAGCACUUUAAGUUGGGAGGAAGGGCAGUAAGUUAAUACCUUGCUGUUUUGACGUUACCAACGGAAUAAGCACCGGCUAACUUCGUGCCAGCCGCCGCCGUAAGAC